rnacentral:tRNA from 1 species
AGAAACUUAAGUUACAUUAAACUAAGGGCCUUCAAAGCCCUAAACAGGACUUCACCACCCUAGUUUCUG